AGCAGGACGGAGGGGAGGGAGGCUGACGCGGCGCAUAACACUAGUGCCCUAAUGUCAGCCAGCACGUCAGCGAGUCAGCAGCACUGUUUGCCCAGCCCCGAGUCCUCCGCGGAAGGCAAUAAGGCGAGUGAGCUUAAGACGCCCCGGGCCACAUCGUAAGGGCGGCAGUGGUAAUGAGGGAGUGCCAGAUGACCCCCGGUGGACGUGCGAGGAGGACCUGAUGGAUGGGCGAGGUGGAGCUGGUCUGGUUUGCCUCCUGGUGUUGUUUCCGCUGAAGGUGCAUGCGUAUCUGUCGCCCUUCGAUCAGGCCGUGAGUAGAGGGCGCGAGGGACGCCCCGACGCCGCCCUCCACUCCCUCCUUACGCAAUACCAGCGCCUAACACUUAGGGGCUCACGCUGAGGUCCCUCAACUUCUCUUUCCUGGAGGCGAGUGGAGAGACAGUGUAGGAUUACCUGGAGCCUCUCUCAGGUAGACGGAGAAGCUCAUUAUCACCUCAUACCUCCCCCUCCGCGCCCCUCCCCUCCGCCACCUCCAAACCACUUUAUGACGCGUUCAUAUAUCAAGGCUGAGCAGCUAUUGGCCUCCCCUCCCCCUUUGCGUCAGCCUCCCAUUCUCGCUCGUUAGUUAUGCACCUUAUUGUAGCCCUAUUAGCUUUCCAAUACGUAUGUUAUGUAUAAAAGGUGUUGAGAGAUAUUUCUUACUAGUUUGUCAAGAAAAUAUUGACACUAGGCUUUUUUUGUCUGCAGUAUGUUGCCGUUUUUAUUGCAGCUUAUGUGAUGAAAAUAUUAAAGCAUAUUAAUUUAGAUAUUGUAUGACAUGUAGUUAUAGGUCUUGGGGUAAGGGGAACAUCCUGCUUUCUAGAGGAGCGGUAUCCAAGGCUGCUAGUCACAAGCCCCCGAGACCAGUGUGGUCUGCGCCUCGUGGGUCGCAGCGUUGGGGGGACCCAGGACGCCGGAUGGGCAGAGUAGCGAGUGCGAUGGGUUGUGUAGCUUGUUGAAUGUAGGGUUCUCCUGUCCCUAGCCCCCUGCUGGCCUGUGUGUGUGGUUCAGUGGUAGGGCAGCAGCUGAGGGCAGGUACCGAGGGCAAAUCUCACCCCACAAGGACGGGCAACCCGCAGCACCCGAGAAGAGGAGAGGAGAGACAUGGAACAGCAGCAUCCCUUCUAGACGGUAGUGCCUCCUGCUACGUAUACUGAAGGUAUACCGGACUAGCUCCCCCUCAGGAUACAUUCAGUAUACGUCCAGGGGGCAUUACAAUAUCCAGCGGUGACGUCACGGCAUCCAUCCCCACACUGGCUGCGUCGGCCGCCGCUGUUGCUAGUGCGCCGCCUCGCCCCGUCCGCUGCCCCGGGCCCCGCCAGGCACGUGUUACUCUGUUUGUCCUCACAUUGUUACAAACCAAUGGGUAAACUUGGUCUGUUUUUUAUCCCAUUCAAGGUUAGUAAUCAUUCGUGCGUAAUAGGUUUAAAGUUUUGCUGUAACAUGUGUUGAGUGUUGCUCCACCUUCAACGAAGAGUAGAAUAUUUAGAAACAUGCAUGAAAUUGCAAUACACAGCCUUUACCUGUCAUCAUUGAUUGCAAUUAAUUAUUAAAGCAGUUAAAUAAAUAUGUUAGUUGAUGCAUGUGCAAUAUUAUUGGUGUUAAAAGGUAGGUCAAAUAUUGGAUAGCAUUGUAUGGGAACAAAUUCCUCGGUAUAUAUUUUUUUCAAGUGACUCGCAUCCUCAUGGUGUUCGUCUUUCUACAAGAUUAGGCGCAGUGAGUGUGCAGUGAGUGGUGAUUUCAUAUUAUUACCGGACGGUGACGGGCAUAUUCUGUGUGUGUUUUUUGUUAAGGAAACGUUCUGAUGUUAAUUCUAGGCAUAUUCUGUGUGUGUUUUUUGUUAAGGAAACGUUCUGAUGUUAAUUCUAGUCUUGACAUUGCGAAAAUAGUACAAAGUAAUGACUUGUGCAUCUCUCUCAUCAGUAUAUUUGUUCGAUGUUUUCAUAAUUUUGAGCUCGGAAUUAUUGUCAGAACGUUUUCCUGAGGAACUCUGAACUCUUU